ACUCCGGUGGUAUGAGAUGGACCCGCGUCUGAUUAGCUGGUUGGUGGGGUAACGGCCUACCAAGGCGACGAUCAGUAGCCGACCUGAGAGGGUGACCGGCCACAUUGGGACUGAGACACGGCCCAAACUCCUACGGGAGGCAGCAGUGGGGAAUAUUGCACAAUGGGGGAAACCCUGAUGCAGCGACGCCGCGUGAGUGAAGAAGUAUUUCGGUAUGUAAAGCUCUAUCAGCAGGGAAGAAAAUGACGGUACCUGACUAAGAAGCCCCGGCUAACUACGUGCCAGCAGCCGCGGUAAUACGUAGGGGGCAAGCGUUAUCCGGAUUUACUGGGUGUAAAGGGAGCGUAGACGGCAAGGCAAGUCUGAAGUGAAAGCCCGGGGCUUAACCGCGGGACUGCUUUGGAAACUGUCUGGCUGGAGUGCCGGAGAGGUAAGCGGAAUUCCUAGUGUAGCGGUGGAAUGCGUAGAUAUCGGGAGGAACACCAGUGGCGAAGGCGGCCUACUGGGCACCAACUGACGCUGAGGCUCGAAAGCAUGGGUAGCAAACAGGAUUAGAUACCCUGGUAGUCCAUGCCGUAAACGAUGAUUACUAGGUGUUGGAGGAUUGACCCCUUCAGUGCCGCAGU
rnacentral:rRNA from 1 species